UUCUGAGCCUUCUUUAAGAUGCAUUUUAAAAAGAUGGCAGAGAUGAGGGUUCCUGAGAAGACCAGAAAGGACAUUUGCAUCUCAAAGAUACAGGCAAGUUAUUCCUAGGAUGACUUUGUUUCCCCUUUGUUUAAUAUUUACAAGCCUCUUAAGAUAAACCCUCCUUAAGGGAGGGUUUGGGGAGUGGUAUCUAUUGGAGAGUCAAUCAACUCGUUCCCCACUGUCAAAGUUCCCUGGGGCUCCUGUGGGGAAAUUAGAAUCGGACGCCUCAGGUCCAAGGGCGUCGCCUGGCCUCUUAUAGGUUGUCAGCACAAGGGAAAUUGCCCUGCUGUGGAAGUGGCUCCUGGUCCAAAUUGGGUGGCCUGUGGAGUCUUAGAUGGUGAUACUAAAUCAGGCUCCUGUGCUCUGGGGGUUAACAUAGAAACUUCUAUUUGAUUCCCAUGGGUAAGGGAAACAGGUGGUGGUGAAUAUGAUGAUGGCAUGG